rnacentral:rRNA from 1 species
AUUGAACGCUGGCGGCAGGCCUAACACAUGCAAGUCGAGCGGAGCGGCGGACGGGUGAGUAAUUCCUAGGUAUCUGCCUGGUAGUGGGGGAUAACGUCCUGAAACGGGCGCUCAUCCCGCAUACUAUCAGAUGAGCCUAGGUAGGAUUAGCUAGUUGGUGGGGUAAAGGCCUACCAAGGCGACGAUCCGUAACUGGCCUGAGAGGAUGAUCAGUCACACUGGAACUGAGACACGGUCCAGACUCCUACGGGAGGCAGCAGUGGGGAAUAUUGGACAAUGGGCGAAAGCCUGAUCCAGCCAUGCCGCGUGUGUGAAGAAGGUCUUCGGAUUGUAAAGCACUUUAAGUUGGGAGGCGGUACCAACAGAAUAAGCACCGGCUAACUUAGUGCCAGCAGCCGCGGUAAUUC